rnacentral:rRNA from 1 species
UACGUAGGGGGCGAGCGUUGUCCGGAAUUACUGGGCGUAAAGAGCGCGUAGGCGGCGCCAUAAGUUCCGUGUGAAAGCCCCCGGCUCAACUGGGGAGGGUCGCGGAAGACUGUGGUGCUGGAGUGUCGGAGAGGGAAGUGGAAGUCCCGGAGUAGGGGUGAAAUCCGUAGAUACCGGGCCGAACACCAGUGGCGAAGGCGACUUCCUGGCCGACGACUGACGCUGAGGCGCGAAAGCUAGGGGAGCGAACGGG